UUGUAGUCUGCAACCCGACUACAUGAAGCUGGAAUCGCUAGUAAUCGCGGAUCAGAAUGCCGCGGUGAAUACGUUCCCGGGUCUUGUACACACCGCCCGUCACACCAUGGGAGUCGGAAAUGCCCGAAGUCUGUGACCCAACCUACGGGAGGGAGCAGCCGAAGGCAGGUCGGAUGACUGGGGUGAAGUCGUAACAAGGUACC
rnacentral:rRNA from 1 species